UAAGACAGCAGGACGGUGGU
rnacentral:snRNA from 1 species